GGGGGUGAAGUGGUUUCGACAGGGAACCAGUGUGGUAGUAAUGCAUGCCGGAGAUGCUAUCUCCUCCGUCAAGAAGUAGCAAAAAACAAAAUAACUGCAAACGAUAAUUUGCUCUUAGCUGCUUAAAUGCAGCUACGUCCGCUCUUUUCGUGCCAUCGGGAAAGAUGUCGGGCGUCAUAACAGUAUGGCUGCUCGCAGAUUGACCGUCGAUAUGUCUGUGCAAAGCUCAUCGACUGGGUUUUAGUGGGUCUGAUUGUCUUUCACCACAAAAACCGAGAUUAAAAGACAACUAAGCAUGUAGAUUUAUUAUGGCUCUGUUCUUUGGACGCGGGUUCGAUCCCCGCCACCUCCACCA
rnacentral:tmRNA from 1 species